GAUGUUCAUACAAAUAUGAGAAAUACAAUGUAAUUAAAUUUAAAUAUAAUUACAUUUAAAAAAAAAACUAAAAUUCAAAAUGGUGAACUUUUAUUCUGAAAAAUAGCCCCAUUGUCAGGUGUCUGUCGCUGAUUCGGAGAUCAAACGGGAUCUCAGGCUGUACAGCUUCCUCUAUACAAUUGGGUCUCGUAGGCACACAAUGUAAAUUGUGUUGUUUUCGGAGAUGUGAGCUCCAGGGCGUCAGCGGUCAUUCAGUGCUCAUGAACCCGCCGAGAGCAUCCUCGCCUCGGCCAGAUCUCCUGGAAUUUGCCUCUGGAUCUGAUGUCUCCAUACGUUUGGGUAAAUCUAACUGAGGAAGACUUUAAUCUAUUAUUUCUUCCAGAGCAGAUAGUUUUGGCUGCUACCGUUGCUCUUUUGACUGAAUUGCCUAGCAACUUUUAACAAGCAAGUUCUUUUUUCUUUCAACAACACCUUGUAAGACAGCCAACAAACUAUUGUCACCUGAAAUCACCUUUAACAGAUGAAAGGACAGUAUGACACAGUAGUUCCACACAGAAGAGGGUUUUUAAAGAUACUCCUCUGAUGUUUCUUAUCUAUUUACACACUUGUGCUGUUGAACUUUUGUAUAAACGCAAUAUUAUAUUACUCAUGUAUAUUUACUUUAAAUGGAUAGUUCAUUUGUAGUGCACAGUGGCCUACAGACAAGUCAUAUAAUUUUGCAGGAUGAAGUUGGCGCUCCUGGGAUGGUUAUCAGAGUCUCAGUGGAUGAGACUUUUUUUUGUAACUAAUAUUUCAUAAAGAAUGAAAUAUGUUGUUACUUUUUACGUGAUGGUUACACCACAUAACAUUUUUGGAGAAACAUUUCUUGAAAAGGCUAUAAAAGUGUUUCGAAGACAUAAUUACCAACAAUUUGUUUUCAUAUGAUUGCACCAUUUAAUUAUUGUUUUAUCUUAAACACAUAUCGACCUGUAAAACAUCUUCUGUUCUGUAUAACAUCUUCCAUGUUUCCUACAGGUUUUACCACUUCAAUAAAAAGGGUCGUGUUGUGG